ACCUGGCAAGCUCAGUCAGUGGAGCGUGUGACUCUUGACUGCAGGGUUGUGGGUUCAAGUCCCACACUGGGUG
rnacentral:tRNA from 1 species